AAAAUGCGAUAAGUAAUGUGAAUUGCAGAAUUCAGUGAAUCAUCGAAUCUUUGAACGCACAUUGCGCCCGUCAGCAUUCUGGCGGGCAUGCCUGUUCGAGCGUCAUUUCAACCCUCAGGACCCCCCUUUCGCGGGGAGGGACCUGGCGUUGGGGAUCGGCCCGCCCCCCGCGGCGGCGCCGUCCCCGAAAUCUAGUGGCGGUCUCGCUGCAGCCUCCCCUGCGUAGUAGUUACAACCUCGCAUCGGAGCGCGGCGCGGCCACGCCGUAAAACCCCCGACUUUCUGAACGUUGACCUCGGAUCAGGUAGGAAUACCCGCUGAACUUAAGC
rnacentral:misc_RNA from 1 species